CCUACGGGCGGCAGCAGUGAGGAAUAUUGGUCAAUGGACGAGAGCCUGAACCAGCCAAGUAGCGUGAAGGAUGACUGCCCUACGGGUUGUAAACUUCUUUUAUAUGGGAAUAAAGUGAUCCACGUGUGGCUUUUUGUAUGUACCUUAUGAAUAAGCAUCGGCUAACUCCGUGCCAGCAGCCGCGGUAAUACGGAGGAUCCGAGCGUUAUCCGGAUUUAUUGGGUUUAAAGGGAGCGUAGGUGGGUGGUUAAGUCAGGUGUGAAAGUUUGCGGCUCAAACGUAAAAUUGCAGUUGAAACUGGCAGGCUUGAGUGCGGGAGAGGUAGGCGGAAUUCGUGGUGUAGCGGUGAAAUGCUUAGAUAUCACGAAGAACUCCGAUUGCGAAGGCAGCUUACCG
rnacentral:rRNA from 1 species